GAGGCAGCAGUGGGGAAUAUUGCGCAAUGGGCGAAAGCCUGACGCAGCCAUGCCGCGUGUGUGAAGAAGGCCUUCGGGUUGUAAAGCACUUUCACUUGGGAGGAAACGUUGCAGGUUAAUACCCUGUAGCUUUGACGUUACCUUGAGAAGAAGCACCGGCUAACUCCGUGCCAGCAGCCGCGGUAAUACGGAGGGUGCGAGCGUUAAUCGGAAUUACUGGGCGUAAAGCGCGCGUAGGCGGUUUGUUAAGUCGGAUGUGAAAGCCCCGGGCUCAACCUGGGAAUUGCACCCGAUACUGGCCGACUGGAGUGCGAGAGAGGGAGGUAGAAUUCCACGUGUAGCGGUGAAAUGCGUAGAUAUGUGGAGGAAUACCGGUGGCGAAGGCGGCCUCCUGGCUCGACACUGACGCUUAGGUGCGAAAGCGUUGGGAGCAAACAGGAUUAGAUACCCUGGUAGUCCACGCCGUAAACGAUGUCGACUAGCCGUUGGGGAACUUGAGUCCUUGGUGGCGCAGUUAACGCGCUAAGUCGACCGCCUGGGGAGUACGGCCGCAAGGUUAAAACUCAAAUGAAUUGACGGGGGCCCGCACAAGCGGUGGAGCAUGUGGUUUAAUUCGAUGCAACGCGAAGAACCUUACCAGGCCUUGACAUCCCCGGAAUCCUGCAGAGAUGCGGGAGUGCCUUCGGGAAUCGAGUGACAGGUGCUGCAUGGCUGUCGUCAGCUCGUGUCGUGAGAUGUUGGGUUAAGUCCCGUAACGAGCGCAACCCUUGUCCUUAGUUGCCAGCACUUCGGGUGGGAACUCUAAGGAGACUGCCGGUGACAAACCGGAGGAAGGUGGGGACGACGUCAAGUCAUCAUGGCCCUUACGGCCUGGGCUACACACGUGCUACAAUGGAGCGUACAAAGGUCGGCGAACCCGCGAGGGGGAGCGAAUCCCAUAAAACGUUUCGUAGUCCGGAUCGCAGUCUGCAACUCGACUGCGUGAAGUCGGAAUCGCUAGUAAUCGCGAAUCAGCAUGUCGCGGUGAAUACGUUCCCGGGCCUUGACACACCGCCCGUCACACCAUGGGAGUGGGUGCUCCAGAAGUGGU
rnacentral:rRNA from 1 species